rnacentral:rRNA from 1 species
UACGGAGGGGGCUAGCGUUGUUCGGAAUCACUGGGCGUAAAGGGCGCGUAGGCGGCUUUAUAAGUCGGGGGUGAAAGCCUGUGGCUCAACCACAGAAUUGCCUUCGAUACUGUAUGGCUUGAGACCGGAAGAGGUAAGUGGAACUGCGAGUGUAGAGGUGAAAUUCGUAGAUAUUCGCAAGAACACCAGUGGCGAAGGCGGCUUACUGGUCCGGUUCUGACGCUGAGGCGCGAAAGCGUGGGGAGCAAACAGG